UCUGAUUAGUUAGUUGGUAGGGUAACGGCCUACCAAGACCACGAUCAGUAGCUGUUCUAAGAGGAAAGAUCAGCCACAUUGGGGACUGAGAUACGGGCCCAGACUCCUACGUGGAGUGCAGCAGUUGAGGAAUUUUUGCGGCAUUGUGGUGAAAUCCUGACGCAAAAACGCCGCGUGACCGAUUGAAGCUUUCCGGAGUGUAAAGGUCUGUCGCGAGAGAAGUAAAUAUCCGAGGUGAAUAUUUCGGUAGUUGACGGUACCUCGCAAGCAAGCUCCCGGCUAACUUCGUGCCAGCAGCCCCGGUAAUACGAGGGGAGCAAGCUUUGUCCGAAUAACUGGCGUAAAGGUACUUAGGUUUUUUGUAUGUUUUCGGUGAAAGUCACAAGGCUUAACUUGUGAAUUGCCGGAAAAACUGCAGAGAUUGAAUCCGAAAGGGGAAAGCAGAAUUCCUGGUGUAGCGGUGAAAUGCGUAGAUAUCAGGAGGAAUACCAGUGGCGAAGGCGGCUUCCUGGUUCGGAAUUGACGCUGAUGUACUAAAGCGUGGGUAGCAAACAGGAUUAGAUACCCUGGUAGUCCACGCCUUAAACUAUGGAUACUUGAUGUCGGGGCGUUCGGUCGACCCGGUGUCGUAGCUAACGUGUUAAGUAUCCCGCCUGGGGACUACGGUCGCAAGACUGAAACUCAAAGGAAUUGACGGGGGCCCGCACCAGCGGUGGAACAUGUGGUUUAAUUCGAUGCAACGCGAAGAACCUUACCUGGGCUUGACAUAUAUAUGGCGUAUGUAAGAAAUUAUGUAUUCUGUCUGUUUUUUCAGAUAGCAUAUAUACAGGUGAUGCAUGGCUGUCGUCAGCUCGUGUCGUGAGAUGUAGGGUUAAGUCCCUUAACGAGCGCAACCCUUGCUUUUAGUUGCCAUCAGGUAAUGCUGGGGACUCUAGAAGGACUGCCGAGGUUAACUCGGAGGAAGGUGGGGAUGACGUCAAGUCAGUAUGUCCCUUAUGUCCAGGGGCUACACACGUGUUACAAUGGUCGGUACAGAGUGACGCUAAUCCACGAGGUGGCGCCAAUCACUUAAAGCCGAUCCCAGUUCGGAUCGGAGUCUGCAAUUCGACUCCAUGAAGUUGGAUCGCUAGUAUCGCAGACAGCAUGCUGCGGUGAUACGUCCCGGCCCUGUACACACCGCCCGUCACGCCAUGAA
rnacentral:rRNA from 1 species